CCUACGGGUGGCAGCAGUGGGGAAUAUUGCACAAUGGGGGAAACCCUGAUGCAGCAACGCCGCGUGAAGGAAGACGGUUCUCGGAUUGUAAACUUCUGUUUUUAGUGAAGAAUAAUGACGGUAGCUAAGGAGCAAGCCACGGCUAACUACGUGCCAGCAGCCGCGGUAAUACGUAGGUGGCAAGCGUUGCCCGGAAUUACUGGGUGUAAAGGGAGCGCAGGCGGGAAGGCAAGUCAGCUGUGAAAACUACGGGCUUAACUUGUAGACUGCAGUUGAAACUGGUUUUCGUGAGUGAAGUAGAGGUAGGCGGAAUUCCGAGUGUAGCGGUGAAAUGCGUAGAUAUUCGGAGGAACACCGGUGGCGAAGGCGGCCAACUGGGCUUUAACUGACGCUGAGGCUCGAAAGUGUGGGGAGCGAACAGGAUUAGAUACCCGGGUAGUC
rnacentral:rRNA from 1 species